GGCGAACGCUGGCGGCGUGCUUAACACGUGCAAGUCGAACGGAAAGGCCCUUCGGGGUACUCGAGUGGCGAACGGGUGAGUAACACGUGGGUGAUCUGCCCUGCACUUUGGGAUAAGCCUGGGAAACUGGGUCAAUUACGAAUAGGGACACGGCGCUUCGGGGGUGUGGGGGGAAGGCUUUGCGGGGGGGGAUGGGCCCGCGGCCUAUCAGCUUGUUUGUGGGGUAAUGGCCUACCAAGGCGACGACGGGUAGCCGGCCUGAGGGGGUGACCGGCCACACUGGGACUGAGAUACGGCCCAGACUCCUACGGGAGGCAGCAGUGGGGAAUAUUGCACAAUGGGCGCAAGCCUGAUGCAGCGACGCCGCGUGAGGGAUGACGGCCUUCGGGUUGUAAACCUCUUUCAAUAGGGACGAAGCGCAAGUGACGGUACCUAUAGAAGAAGCACCGGCCAACUACGUG
rnacentral:rRNA from 1 species